AAAAGUUGACAAUAUAUACUACCCUGAUUUUCUUGAUGCAUACACAUAUGCUCUCCCACGAGUAGAGAACUCACCUUCCAUGCGUCCCAUUUUGUCCCGAUUUAAAGUUAGCCUGGGACAAAAGGUUCACCAACCGGGACUAAAGCUCGGUAACUGACGGGGGGCUCACCAACCGGGACCUUUAUCCCGGUUGCAAAGGCUAGUAGGAAAAAAAAAGACCCUGAGAGACCUUUUAUCCCGGUUUGAAACACCAACCGGGAUAAAAGACCCACCCUUUUAUCCCGGUUGGUAACACAAAUCGGGAUAAAAGGCUCUCGACCCUUUUAUCUCGGUUGGUGUUUCAAACCGGGAUAAAAAGGGUCACAACGGGGUGGAUGAAAGAGGACUAAAUCCCUCGAACCCUUUUAUCCCGGUUUGUAAUACCAACCGGGAUAAAAUGGGGUCUUUUAUCCUGGUUGGUGUUUCCAACUGGGAUCACCAACCGGGAUAAAAAGGUCCCCACGAGUUAAUAUAAAAGGAUUGCAUCCCCUAUAUAGUUAGAUGUGUUGUGUAGGUGGGAUGGCAAGAAAGCUAUGCGCGAGGCUGGAGGUCGUGGGUUUGAAUCCCACGCAGCGCGCGCACACGCAUAUUUCGCGUGAAAAAUGGUGUGACUUGCGACGUGCGCAUGUGGGGGGGCCUCCCAGGAUUUCUUUUUUUUUUAUAGCGCCUGGCGUGGUGACCUAUUUUUGUCCCGGUUGAGUGACCCGGGACAAAAGAUCCUCCUUUUAUCUCAGUUGGUUUAUCCCGGAUGGAUUUUCAAUAGAUUUGCACCCUACCAACCGGGACUAAUACCGAAUUCUUUACCAGUGUCCCCCCCUCCCCCCCGCACACACACCCAGUGGAUGCAUGCAGACAAACUUUUAGAAGCUUUGGUCACGAAACACAAAAUUAUUAGUACUUUUCACAUGGAAAAUAUUUUAGUAGGUUCGUCAUGACUAAUAAUGCUCAUAAUAUUUUCAAUAAAUUGCAAAAUAAAUUGCUUAUAAAUUAAUGGCCAAAGACGUGUGUUGGACAGUUCCAAUAAUUGCAGAAACACAAGUAAUAAAAGAAGGGAAGUGCAGUGCAGUGCAGUAACCCUACUUUAUCCCAAUAGCAUGGACAAAAACUCAUCAACUCCAUUGGAAAUCAUUAGAUGAUCAUAUAUCUAUCAUUAAGACAUAUAUAUCUGUUCUAAAAUACUUCUUGUUUGAUCCUCUUUUGCAAUCUUAAAAAUACAUGUUGUUCUACAACCUCUUGGUAACUUCGGUGUGCAUUUUUAAAUCUUAACCCUCUUUAAAUGCAUCAUUUUAUCUACCUCCUUAAUUAUUGUUGUGCCAAACUCUCAAACAAGUCUUGUGAACCAAUGAGUCUCAAGCACCUUGGAUUUUAAAACUUCCAUACAGGAUAUACCAAAAAGGUUUGAAAUUCACCACUUUUAAAUUACCCCAAAAGAAGAUUUCAUCCAGUAAUUUUCAUUGUUCAGGUUUAACGGCAUUUUUUUGGGUGAAUUUUGUUCUGAUUUCUGUUUUUUGAAGUUAAAUGCCCAUUAUGUUUGUAGAGUUAGCUAGGAAGCUUGUCAAAGUGCGUGCAUCUUGAAAAACGUAAGAUAACCUUCUUACGUUUUUCAAGAUAUCCCAAUAUGGAACUCUUUUGUAAUAACCUUCUCUAUCAAUGAAAUAGGCACCGUCUCGUGCCCAUUCGUUCAAAAAAAAAAAGAAAAACGUAAGAUAACAACACAUACAAUUUGUACAAAGAGUUUAUGCAUUCUUUUUCUACUGAGAUUGUGAGCAGGUUGGGUAUAAAAAAACUAAGUAAAUGCUGAAAUGUUUUGCUUAGAUUCCAAAUUUCAGCAAACUAUCAUUCUUGUUUAAGCCAAAUCUUCACAUUGACCUAGGCCUUCAAAUAUUUUGGUGAAUUUAAUGGGAGGUCACAUUCCAAAGCUUAGCCAAAAGCUGACACUGAAGGUAUUCAAAUGAUCGUAUGCUACAUGAAUUAAACACGAAAGUUACGAUCAGAGACGUCCUAAUGACGUACUUGUCAGAUUAGGGGAAUUUGAAUUGAAAGGUGUGCACUUCUUCUGCGAAAGAAGGCUGGAGUUACCAUGGAAAGUGAUGCAUUUACUUCCUGCAAGUCCUUCGGGGAAAAUCAUAUCUCAUGUUGCCUUACAAUGCAAGUUGCAACAAUGCUACUAUCUAGUCAGAUAAACUUCCUAGCCUAUUUUUUAAUAUAGAUCUUGUGAACUUGGUGUGUAAACUCAUAUAGGUUGAAUUUCUUCUACAACAAUGAUAGUAUAAUUAUAAAAAUGGAAUCAUCAUGUAUUGCCCUUGUUUUUAUUCCAUGCACGAAUGAAUACCAUGCCAUCUGCAAGUGCUACCAGACCAUCAGUGGACCCCCACGAAUAUCAAUAUAUGCGAAUCUUCAUUUUCUGUUCUAGCUAAUGAAAGGCCUGUAUUUUAACAAUUGUGGAUGCAACUUUUUAGUAUCAGAAUUAUUUUCAUACUUGGUAUUUGAAUAUUAUGCAUGCAGUUCAUUAUGUAAAAAAUGUAGGUUUUCCAAUCAAGGACUUCUGAGCUUCUUUGAGUUCUCCUGUAUACGCUAAUCACUUCUGUAUUUUUUGUGCAUCCCCUCCUGGAUGCUCAGGAGC
rnacentral:lncRNA from 1 species